UCCCAGGUUCAAGCAAUUCUCCUAUCUCAGCCUCCCAAGUAGCUGGUAUUACAGGUGUGCACCACCAUCAUGCCAAGCUAAUUUUUGUAUUUUUAGUAGAGACAGGGUUUCACUAUGUUGGCCAGACUGGUCUCCAACUCCUGGACUCAAGUGAUCUGCCUGCCUCAGCCUCCCAAAGUGCUGGGAUUACAGGCACGAGCCACCACGCCUGGCCCUAUUUUUUUAUUUUAGCUAUUCUCACAAGUAUGUAAUGGUAUCUCAUCAUGGUCUUAAUUUUCCUAAUGGAUAGUUAUGUUAACAUUCUUUCACGUGUUUAUUUGCCUUCUGUAUAUUCUCUUUGGGGAAAUAUCUUAAGUUUUUUUUUUUUUUGCACAUUUUCUAAUGGGAUUAUCUGGUGUUUUUCUUACUGUUGAGAUUUGAGUGUUUUGUUUUGUUUUGUUUUGUUGUUUUUUUUUUGAGACAGAGUCUUGCUCUGCCACCCAGGCUGGACUGGAAUGCAGUGGCUCUCGCUGCAAGCUCCGCCUCCCAGAUUCAUGUCAUUCUCCCGCCUCAGCCUCCUGAGUAGCUGGGACCACAAGCACCUGCCACCACACCCAGCUAAUUUUUUUGUAUUUUUAGUAGAGAUGGGGUUUCACCGUGUUAGCCAGGAUGGUCUCAAUCUCCUGACCUCGUGAUCCGCCCGCCUCGGCCUCCCAAAAUGCUGGGAUUCCAGGCCUGAGCCACCACGCCCAACCUUUUUUUUUUUUUUUUUUUUUGAGACAGAGUCUAGCUCUGUAGCCCAGGCUGGAGUGCAGUGGUGCAAUCUCGGCUCCCUGCAACCUCUGCCUCCUGGGUUCAGGUGAUUCUCGUGCCUCAGCCUCUUGAAUAGCUGGGAUUACAGGCAUGCACAACCGUGCCCAGCUAAUUUUUGUAUUUUUAGCAGAGAUUGGGUUUUACCAUAUUGGCCAGGCUGGUCUCAAACUCCCGGCCUCAAGUGAUCUGCCUGCCUUGGCCUCCCAAUGUGCUGGUAUUACAGGAGUGAGCCACAAUGCCCGGCCUUGAGUGUUCUUUAUAUAUAUUCUAAAUAUAAGUCCUUUGUCAGAUAUAUGGUUUGCAAAUAUUUUCUCUCACUUUGUAGUUUGUCUUUUCAUCCUCUUAAUGGGGUCUUUCACAGAGCAAAAGUUUGUAAUUUUGAUGAAGUCCAAUUAUGUAUAUAUUUUUUCUUUUAUGGUUCUUGCUUUUGGCAUCAUGUCUGAGAACUUUUCCCUGAGCCCUGGGGAAAGACUCCUAGGUCCUGAUGAUUUUCUUCUAUCUUGUCUUCUAAACAUCUUAUAACUUUACAGUUUACAUUUAAACCUGUUCCAUUUUAAGUUAAUUUUUGUAUAAGGCAUGAGGUUUAGGUUGGUUGCUUUUUUUUUUAAUGGUCACUUUUACAUUUUUAUUUUACUUUUUUUUUUUUUCAGCAGCAUUCAUGCAACCUCUGCCUCCUGGGUUCAAAUGAUUCUUGUACCUCAGCCUCAAGAAUAGCUGGGAUUACAGUUGCAUGCCACCAUAUCUGGCUAAUUUUUUUGUAUUUUUAGCAGAGAUGGGGUAUUGUCAUGUUGGUCAGGCUGGUCUUGGACUCCUGGCCUCAAGUGAUCCGCCUGUCUCAGCCUCCCAAAGUGCUAGGAUUACAAGCAUGAGCCGCUGCACCCAGCCUAGAUCUCUGUAUUCAUCAGAACUAAGGCAAUUAAAGGAAUUGUCUUAUUGUGGGGGCUGGCAAAUCUGAAUCUGCAGAACUGGCCAGCAAGCUAAAGACCCAGGGAAGAGUUGAUGUUGCAGUUCAAGUCUGAACAAGUCUGAAGGCAGUCUAGAUGCAGAAUUAUUGCUUCCUUGGUGGCUCUCCAUCUUUUCCAUCUUUUAUAAUUUUUUUUUUUUAACAGAAUCUUGCUCUGUUAUCCAGGCUGGAGUGCAGUAACUUAUCACAGUCUACUGGUGUUGACAUUUUACCAGUUUGAGUGAAAGGUAGAAACAUUACCUCUAUACCUCUGGAAAGUUCUACCAGAUUACAAAUAAAGAAAGAAACCUUUUUCUGUGUCCUUUUACUCUCCCAUUAUAAUGUAACUAUCUUAAGUAUUUCCUCUACAUAUAUGGACAGCCACUUAGACAAGCGUAAUUUUUGCUUCAACUGUUGAACAUAAUUUAGAAUACUCAAGAGGAAAAAGACAAUCUAUUGUAUUGACCUGUAUGUUUGCUCUUUUUGUCCUUUUUUCCUGCCUGAUGUUCCAAGAUUCCUUUUGUUACCACUCCCUUUGUUUAGAGAAUUGCCUUUAGUAAUCCCUAUAAAGUAAAUCUGCCAGUGACAAAUUCCCUUAGUUUUUCCCUCAUGUAAGAAUGUCAUGAUUUCCUCCCCCACAGCCCUUCCCCCCAAUUCCUGAAGGAUUG
rnacentral:lncRNA from 1 species